GCCGGGCAUGAUGGCGCACACCUGUAAUCCCAGUGGCUCAGGAGGCUGAGGCAGGAGGAUCAUGAGUUCAAAGCCAGCCUCAGCCACUUAGUGAGGCCGUGAGCAACUAAGAGAGACCCUGACUCUA
rnacentral:sRNA from 1 species